rnacentral:tRNA from 1 species
CGGGGUGUGGCGCAGCUUGGUAGCGCGCCUGCUUUGGGAGCAGGAGGUCGGAGGUUCGAAUCCUCUCGCCCCGACCG